GAUGAACGCUGGCGGCGUGCCUAAUACAUGCAAGUCGAGCGAACGGACGAGAAGCUUGCUUCUCUGAUGUUAGCGGCGGACGGGUGAGUAACACGUGGAUAACCUACCUAUAAGACUGGGAUAACUUCGGGAAACCGUAGCUAAUACCGGAUAAUAUUUUGAACCGCAUGGUUCAAAAGUGAAAGACGGUCCUGCUGUCACUUAUAGAUGGAUCCGCGCUGCAUUAGCUAGUUGGUAAGGUAACGGCUUACCAAGGCAACGAUGCAUAGCCGACCUGAGAGGGGGAUCGGCCACACUGGAACUGAGACACGGUCCAGACUCCUACGGGAGGCAGCAGUAGGGAAUCUUCCGCAAUGGGCGAAAGCCUGACGGAGCAACGCCGCGUGAGUGAUGAAGGUCUUCGGAUCGUAAAACUCUGUUAUUAGGGAAGAACAUAUGUGUAAGUAACUGUGCACAUCUUGACGGUACCUAAUCAGAAAGCCACGGCUAACUACGUG
rnacentral:rRNA from 1 species